UACGUAGGGUGCGAGCGUUGUCCGGAAUUAUUGGGCGUAAAGAGCUCGUAGGCGGCUUGUCACGUCGGGUGUGAAAGCCCGGGGCUUAACCCCGGGCCUGCAGUCGAUACGGGCAGACUAGAGUGCGGUAGGGGAGACUGGAAUUCCUGGUGUAGCGGUGAAAUGCGCAGAUAUCAGGAGGAACACCGGUGGCGAAGGCGGGUCUCUGGGCCGAAAUUGACGCUGAGGAGCGAAAGCGUGGGGAGCAAACAGG
rnacentral:rRNA from 1 species